UACGUAGGGUGCGAGCGUUAAUCGGAAUUACUGGGCGUAAAGCGUGCGUAGGCGGUUCGUUGUGUCUGUGGUGAAAGCCCCGGGCUUAACCUGGGAAUGGCCAUGGAAACUGGCGAGCUGGAGUGUGGCAGAGGGGGUGGAAUUCCGCGUGUAGCAGUGAAAUGCGUAGAGAUGCGGAGGAACACCGAUGGCCGAAGGCAGCCCCCUGGGCUAACACUGACGCUGAGGCACGAAAGCGUGGGGAGCAAACAGG
rnacentral:rRNA from 1 species